rnacentral:rRNA from 1 species
UCGGGAAUUUUGGGCAAUGGGCGAAAGCCUGACCCAGCAACGCCGCGUGAAGGAUGAAGUAUUUCGGUAUGUAAACUUCGAAAGAAUAGGAAGAAUAAAUGACGGUACUAUUUAUAAGGUCCGGCUAACUACGUGCCAGCAGCCGCGGUAAUACGUAGGGACCAAGCGUUGUUCGGAUUUACUGGGCGUAAAGGGCGCGUAGGCGGCAUGACAAGUCACUUGUGAAAUCUCUGGGCUUAACCCAGAACGGCCAAGUGAUACUGUCGCGCUAGAGUGCAGAAGGGGCAAUCGGAAUUCUUGGUGUAGCGGUGAAAUGCGUAGAUAUCAAGAGGAACACCUGAGGUGAAGACGGGUUGCUGGACUGAUACUGACACUGAGGCGCGACAGCGUGGGGAGCGAACAGGAUUAGAUACCCAAGUAGUCCCUGAGCGGGCUGGCAAGGCGCAU